rnacentral:rRNA from 1 species
UACGUAGGGUGCAAGCGUUGUCCGGAAUUAUUGGGCGUAAAGAGCUUGUAGGCGGUUUGUCGCGUCUGCUGUGAAAUUUCGGGGCUCAACCCCGAACUUGCAGUGGGUACGGGCAGACUAGAGUGUGGUAGGGGAGACUGGAAUUCCUGGUGUAGCGGUGAAAUGCGCAGAUAUCAGGAGGAACACCGAUGGCGAAAGCGGCAUCCUGGACCGAUAUUGACGCUGAGUGAGCGAAAGCCAGGGGAGCAAACGGG